AACGAACGCUGGCGGCGUGGAUUAGGCAUGCAAGUCGUACGCGAAAGAGGGAGCAAUCCCUUGAGUAGAGUGGCGAACGGGUGAGUAACGCGUGAGAAACCUGCCUUUGACAGGGGGAUAACACUCCCAACGGGGUGCUAAUACCGCAUGAGACCACGGGAUCGCAUGAUCCUGAGGUCAAAGAUGGCCUCUAUUUAUAAGCUAUCGGUCGAAGAUGGUCUCGCGUCCCAUUAGCUUGUUGGCGGUGUAAAAGACCACCAAGGCGACGAUGGGUAGCUGGUCUGAGAGGAUGGUCAGCCACACUGGGACUGAGAUACGGCCCAGACUCCUACGGGAGGCAGCAGUCGGGAGGCUUCGGCAAUGGGGGAAACCCUGACCGAGCGACGCCGCGUGGAGGAUGAAGGCCCUUGGGUUGUAAACUCCUUUUAUUCGGGAAGAAGUGCGAUCAGGUGAAUAAUCUGGUCGUUUGACGGUACCGGAUGAAUAAGCUCCGGCUAACUCCGU
rnacentral:rRNA from 1 species